rnacentral:rRNA from 1 species
GAAUCUGCCUGGUAGUGGGGGAUAACGUCCGGAAACGGGCGCUAAUACCGCAUACGUCCUGAGGGAGAAAGUGGGGGAUCUUCGGACCUCACGCUAUCAGAUGAGCCUAGGUCGGAUUAGCUAGUUGGUGGGGUAAAGGCCUACCAAGGCGACGAUCCGUAACUGGUCUGAGAGGAUGAUCAGUCACACUGGAACUGAGACACGGUCCAGACUCCUACGGGAGGCAGCAGUGGGGAAUAUUGGACAAUGGGCGAAAGCCUGAUCCAGCCAUGCCGCGUGUGUGAAGAAGGUCUUCGGAUUGUAAAGCACUUUAAGUUGGGAGGAAGGGCAGUAAGUUAAUACCUUGCUGUUUUGACGUUACCAACAGAAUAAGCACCGGCUAACUUCGUGCCAGCAGCCGCGGUAAUACGAAGGGUGCAAGCGUUAAUCGGAAUUACUGGGCGUAAAGCGCGCGUAGGUGGUUCAGCAAGUUGGAUGUGAAAUCCCCGGGCUCAACCUGGGAACUGCAUCCAAAACUACUGAGCUAGAGUACGGUAGAGGGUGGUGGAAUUUCCUGUGUAGCGGUGAAAUGCGUAGAUAUAGGAAGGAACACCAGUGGCGAAGGCGACCACCUGGACUGAUACUGACACUGACGUGCGAAAGCGUGGGGAGCAAACAGGAUUAGAUACCCUGGUAGUCCACGCCGUAAACGAUGUCNACUAGCCGUUGGGAUCCUUGAGAUCUUAGUGGCGCACCUAACGCGAUAAGUCGACCGCCUGGGGAGUACGGCCGCAAGGUUAAAACUCAAAUGAAUUGACGGGGGCCCGCACAAACGGUGGAAGCAUGUGGUUUAAUUCCAAGCAACGCGAAAAAACCUUACCUGGCCCUUGACAUGCUGAGAACUUUCCCA